GACGAACGCUGGCGGCGCGCCUAACACAUGCAAGUCGAACGGAGCUGAGAGAAGCUUGCUUUUCUUAGCUUAGUGGCGAACGGGUGAGUAACGCGUGAGUAACCUGCCCUGGAGUGGGGGACAACAGUUGGAAACGACUGCUAAUACCGCAUAAGCCCACGAUCCGGCAUCGGAUUGAGGGAAAAGGAUUUAUUCGCUUCAGGAUGGACUCGCGUCCAAUUAGCUAGUUGGUGAGGUAACGGCCCACCAAGGCGACGAUUGGUAGCCGGACUGAGAGGUUGAACGGCCACAUUGGGACUGAGACACGGCCCGGAAUCCUACGGGAGGCAGCAGUGGGGGAUAUUGCACAAUGGGGGAAACCCUGAUGGAGCGACGCCGCGUGGAGGAAGAAGGUUUUCGGAUUGUAAACUCCUGUCGUUAGGGACGAUAAUGACGGUACCUAACAAGAAAGCACCGGCUAACUACGUG
rnacentral:rRNA from 1 species